GACGAACGCUGGCGGCGUGCUUAACCCAUGCAAGUCGAACGAAGUGGCGAACGGGUGAGUAACGCGUAAUCAACCUGCCCUUCAGAGGGGGACAACCGUUGGAAACGACUGCUAAUACCGCAUACUGAAGGAGGGGAUUGCGUCUGAUUAGGUAGUUGGCGGGGUCACGGCCCACCAAGGCGAUGAUCAGUAGGCGGUAUGAGAGGAUGAACGGCAACAUUGGGACUGAGACACGGCCCAGACUCCUACGGGCGGCAGCAGUGGGGAAUCGUCCGCAAUGGACGAAAGUCUGACGGAGCAACGCCGCGUGAGUGAUGACGGCCUUCGGGUUGUAAAGCUCUGUUAAGCGGGACGCGGUACCGGAAUAGAAAGCCACGGCUAACAACGUGCCAGCAGCCGCGGUAAUUC
rnacentral:rRNA from 1 species